AGAGAGCAAUAAAUCGCACUGUGUUACAGCUGAGCUCAUGAGGGAGGGCGCAUCAGGUAACCAUGGCGCAGUAUGUGUUAUGAGGGGGGCACGCCGUGUGCAUUCUGCUUCUAUUAGCCAUUUCAGCAUUACAGAGACCGGUUGAUCGAUCAGAAUCUGGACCUGGCGUUGCCAUAUUGUGUUGUAGUUGGACUCAAGUGGACGAUAACAGAGCUAUCUGUGGCUGCAUGUCAGUAACAGGCCUCUGGAGAUGAUGAUGGAUGUAAAGCGGCACUCGGGGAGGAGCGCCAUGCCUCAGCUGCUCGUGAAGAUUGUUGGCGGAAAACAAAUUAAGCAACUCAUUGAUCCGAACAGGACUGAAGCUGCUGGCAGGCAGAAUGAAGACCCCAGUGAUGCUCCCACAGUGAUGAAGACUUCAGCACAAAAACUAGAGCUGCUUAGUCCCUCUAAAAACACAGAAAGUGCCAUCAUCCAUGCUGCUCUCGCACAGGUUCCAGACAGAGUGUGUGUAACAGCUCCCAGUGGAGAUCGCUCACACUCCUACAUCCACCUCAGGAGACCCGCUGCUAACAACACUAAAACACUGCUGCAGUCACACACAGAGCAGGAGGUCAGGCACGUCCAUCCUGAGGACUGGCUCCUCUUACUGGUCUCAGAGGAACUUGAGGGCUGGAAGCUCCAAACAUUAGAAAAGCUGGAGGAGGACGUUGCAGCUCUUGACCCCUCCCACACGGGCAGCGUCCACCAGUCAGAACUGACAUACCUGUUUCUCAGGUGGCAGGUGCCCCUCAGGCUGCCCACCCUGGCCUCUCUCCUGAACGUCUUCUGUAGCUCCGCCCACCCUGAGCAGGUACCUCCCAUCAAAUCCGUAAAACAGCUGA
ensembl:lncRNA